rnacentral:rRNA from 1 species
CCUACGGUGGGCUGCAGUGAGGCAUAUUGGUCAAUGGGCGGAAGCCUGAACCAGCCAAGUAGCGUGCAGGAUGACGGCCCUACGGGUUGUAAACUGCUUUUAUACGGGAAUAACGCGCCUUACGUGUAGGGCUUUGCAUGUACCUUAUGAAUAAGGACCGGCUCAUUCCGUGCCAGCAGCCGCGGUAAUACGGAAGGUCCGGGCGUUAUCCGGAUUUAUUGGGUUUAAAGGGAGCGUAGGCCGGAUGUCAAGCGUGCUGUGAAAUGGCCGGGCUAAACCCCGGCCCUGCAGCGCGAACUGGCGUGCUGGAGUCCGCGGAAAGCAGGCGGAAUUCGUCGUGUAGCGGUGAAAUGCUUAGAUAUGACGAAGAACCCCGAUUGCGAAGGCAGCUUGCUGCAGCGGAACUGACGCUGAUGCUCGAAAGCGCGGGUAUCGAACAGGAUUAGAUACCCCGGUAGUC